GCCCUGCAGGCGGGGCACAUAUACAUAUCCUGGAAUGGUACAGAAAAGAUUAGCAUGGCCCCUGUGCAAGGAUGACAUACACAUUGGUGAAGUAUUCCAUAUUUUU
ensembl:snRNA U6 U6 spliceosomal RNA